rnacentral:rRNA from 1 species
CACGUAGGGUGCGAGCGUUGUCCGGAAUUAUUGGGCGUAAAGAGCUCGUAGGCGGUGUGUCGCGUCGGCCGUGAAAACCUGCAGCUUAACUGUGGGCUUGCGGUCGAUACGGGCAUCACUGGAGUUCGGCAGGGGAGACUGGAAUUCCUGGUGUAGCGGUGAAAUGCGUAGAGAUCCGGAAGAACACCGGUGGCGAAGGCGGCCUGCUGGGCAGUGGCUGACGCUGAGGCGCGACAGCGUGGGGAGC